AGAGUUUGAUCCUGGCUCAGGAUGAACGCUAGCUACAGGCUUAACACAUGCAAGUCGAGGGGCAGUAUGAUCGAAGCUUGCUUUGAUUGAUGGCGACCGGCGCACGGGUGCGUAACACGUAUCCAAUCUACCCACCGCUCAGGGAUAGCCUUGCGAAAGUAAGAUUAAUACCUGAUGGUUUCCUUAUGUGGCAUCAUGUAUGGAAUAAAGAUUCAUCGGCGAUGGAUGAGGAUGCGUCCGAUUAGCUUGUUGGCGGGGUAACGGCCCACCAAGGCUACGAUCGGUAGGGGUUCUGAGAGGAAGGUCCCCCACACUGGAACUGAGACACGGUCCAGACUCCUACGGGAGGCAGCAGUGAGGAUAUUGGUCAAUGGUCGAGAGACUGAACCAGCCAAGUAGCGUGAGGGAAGACUGCCCUAUGGGCUGUAAACCUCUUUUGUUCGGGAAUAAAGUGCCGCACGUGUGCGGUUUUGUAUGUACCGUUCGAAUAAGCAUCGGCUAAUUCCGUGCCAGCAGCCGCGGUAAUACGGAAGAUGCGAGCGUUAUCCGGAUUUAUUGGGUUUAAAGGGUGCGCAGGCGGGCGAUUAAGUCAGCGGUGAAAGGCUCGGGCUCAACCGGAGCAGUGCCGUUGAUACUGGUUGUCUUGAAUGCGGUCAAGGCCGGCGGAAUGUGGCGUGUAGCGGUGAAAUGCAUAGAUAUGCCACAGAACACCGAUAGCGAAGGCAGCUGGCCGGGCCUGCAUUGACGCUCAGGCACGAAAGCGUGGGGAUCGAACAGGAUUAGAUACCCUGGUAGUCCACGCUGUAAACGAUGGACACUCGUUGUCGGCGACAGACAGUCGGCGGCCAAGCGAAAGUGAUAAGUGUCCCACCUGGGGAGUACGGUCGCAAGGCUGAAACUCAAAGGAAUUGACGGGGGCCCGCACAAGCGGUGGAGCAUGUGGUUUAAUUCGAUGAUACGCGAGGAACCUUACCCGGGUUAGAACGUAAGGCGAACGACACAGAGAUGUGAAGGUCCUUCGGGACGCCUUGUGAGGUGCUGCAUGGUUGUCGUCAGCUCGUGCCGUGAGGUGUCAGGUUAAGUCCUAUAACGAGCGCAACCCCUACCCCCAGUUGCCAUCGGUUCGGCCGGGCACUCUGAGGGAACUGCCCACGCAAGUGGAGAGGAAGGCGGGGAUGACGUCAAAUCAGCACGGCCCUUACGUCCGGGGCUACACACGUGUUACAAUGGGGAGUACAGAGAGCCGGUCUGCGGCAACGCCGAUCCAAUCCUUAAAGCUCUCCUCAGUUCGGAUUGGGGUCUGCAACCCGACCCCAUGAAGCUGGAUUCGCUAGUAAUCGCGCAUCAGCCAUGGCGCGGUGAAUACGUUCCCGGGCCUUGUACACACCGCCCGUCAAG
rnacentral:rRNA from 1 species